AAUCUCUCCCCCCAAGUGGUGUUUGUAUAGGACGCUACGCGGCGGCGGAGGUUGGAUGAGCGUCGUGCCUACCGCGCUUGGUAGGCUCGCUCGAAAAGCAUGAGCGCUUGAGAACACUUGUCGCCUGUGAGAGGCAGGCGGGCAGAACAGGUGAGCGAAUGCUUCUCCUCCGGAGAAGCGCCCACCGGUCUGCGUGUGCGCAUGGCAUGAUACGUUCCUUGCUAUGUGUGGCGCGCAAACCCCAUCUGGGUUAGUAGCUUCUUGCUUCUGGCGUGAUCUCGUGUGCGCUUCGAAUCGCACAGCCCUCUCUUCAC
rnacentral:misc_RNA from 1 species